GUUCUUCGGAAUGAGUAGAGCGGCGGACGGGUGAGUAAUGCAUAGGAAUCUGCCCAGUAGUGGGGGAUAGCCCGGGGAAACCCGGAUUAAUACCGCAUACGUCCUACGGGAGAAAGCAGGGGAUCUUCGGACCUUGCGCUAUUGGAUGAGCCUAUGUCGGAUUAGCUUGUUGGUGGGGUAACGGCCCACCAAGGCGACGAUCCGUAGCUGGUCUGAGAGGAUGAUCAGCCACACUGGAACUGAGACACGGUCCAGACUCCUACGGGAGGCAGCAGUGGGGAAUAUUGCACAAUGGGGGAAACCCUGAUGCAGCCAUGCCGCGUGUGUGAAGAAGGCCUUCGGGUUGUAAAGCACUUUCAGUAGGGAGGAAGGCCCUAAAGUUAAUACCUUUAGGGAUUGACGUUACCUACAGAAGAAGCACCGGCUAACUCCGUGCCAGCAGCCGCGGUAAUACGGAGGGUGCGAGCGUUAAUCGGAAUUACUGGGCGUAAAGCGCGCG
rnacentral:rRNA from 1 species